GCUGCUUACUUUCCUGUUAUCUAGCGCAGACUCUUCUCCCUUGUUUUUAUGACUGUAUAACUGGCAGCUCUGUUGGGGUAAAUUUCAAUCUCAAAGUCAAUCUCAAAGUUGAGACAAGGCUUAGGAUGCUCUCUGCGAUUAUGCAAAGUUGUGAUUGUGCUUUGAGUGACCCUAUAACCACAAGACAGUGUGUCAUGGUGAGACAAGAAACAGUCUGCACAGUCUAGGACACUAAUUUGUCCUAGAAUUUGUAGUUACUGCACUUGAGACAACUCGCUAUUUAAUGAUGAAACCCAUAGAUCCAAACGACUAAACCCAAAGAAAAAGAAUAGUUUCCAAAAGUAUUUAGAAUAUUGG